GUGCCAGCAGCCCGGUAAUACGGAGGGUGCAAGCGUUGUUCGGAAUUAUUGGGCGUAAAGCGCGUGUAGGCGGUCUGUUAAGUCUGGUGUGAAAGCCCGGGGCUCAACCCCGGAAGUGCAUUGGAUACUGGCAGACUUGAGUACGGGAGAGGAAAGUGGAAUUCCGAGUGUAGGGGUGAAAUCCGUAGAUAUUCGGAGGAACACCAGUGGCGAAGGCGGCUUUCUGGACCGAUACUGACGCUGAGACGCGAAAGCGUGGGGAGCAAACAGGAUUAGAUACCCUGGUAGUCCACGCCGUAAACGAUGGGUACUAGGUGUCGCGGGUAUUGACCCCUGCGGUGCCGAAGCUAACGCAUUAAGUACCCCGCCUGGGGAGUACGGCCGCAAGGCUAAAACUUAAAUGAAUUGACGG
rnacentral:rRNA from 1 species